rnacentral:lncRNA from 1 species
UUCAGCCCGAGUGCUAUUAUGAUGGAUGUUUACAUGUCUUCAUUGAGAGCCAAUUAUCUUGCUUUUGUGUGAGGCCCAAGGAUCACUCAUGCUGCCAGGCUGCACAGAGCACUGUUGGAUCUAGCUGAACGAAUUGUUUUUCUCUGUCUCCGGGUGACAAUAGCUUUUAUACAGGACAGAUUAUGUCAGCUUCUUUCUUAAGGAGAGGAUGUUUAAAUUUUAUCAAAUGAAAUAUAUUUUUCAAAUAUUGGAUAAAAUGAGAUGCUUGCGAAAACGUUCUACAGUGUCAUUCUUGGGAGUCCUUGUUGUUUUUCUUCUAUUCAUGAAUGUGUUCAUUGAAGAUAGCUAUGUUCUGGAAGGCGACAAGCAACUUAUAAGGGAAACA